UGACAGCAGAAAGCCCCGUGCGGGGCUCGAACCCACAAACCGUGAGGACGUGACUUGGGCCGAAGCUGGACGUGUAACCGACUGAGCAGCCCAGGGGCCCCACAUUUGUUUGUUAGGAGGUUCACUGCUCCUACUGUCACGCCCCUGGGUGCCUUGUCCAUGCCCUUCCUCUGUCAUCUGUGUCCUUUCCCCUCUUUCCCUGAGCUCCUGCUUUCCCAAUGACUCAAUGAAGUGUUUUCUCUGUGCACCGGUGGCCUUCCAUACAGAGCACUCCCCUCGGACUUCUGUUGGAACUUCUAGCACACUGAAUUUGCUUUCGCAGUUUGACGUCCCUGCUGGAGUGUGAGCCCACUGUGACCCUCACCGCCGGUCGUGCCUUUCACACGAACGAGGUUCUCCGUGGGACCUGGCGGUGGGCCUGUGGGACAGAGCACCCUCCCUGGAGGGGCACCAAGGCUGUAUGGACCCCCCUCGGCCCCCUUAUUGUGGGUCAUCUCCCUGAGGUACCACAGAUAAGUCCUGAAGAUCCCCCUUUCCCAAAGAGCCUUUUCCCGGAACGCUAAUGUUUUGUUUUGUUUUGUUGAGGAAAAAAGUUCUGUGGUAAAAUAAGCUGGGAAAGUGG